rnacentral:rRNA from 1 species
CGGCUCAGUAACACGUAGACAACUUACCCUUGGGACCGGGAUAACCCUUGGGAAACUAGGGCUAAUACCGGAUAGUGCAUCGAUUGCUGGAAUGCACGAUGUACGAAAGCUGAGGCGCCCAAGGAUAGGUCUGUGGCCGAUUAGGUUGUUGUUGAUGUAACGGAUCAGCAAGCCUACGAUCGGUACGGGUUGUGAGAGCAAUAGCCCGGAGAUGGGUUCUGAGAGAAGAACCCAGGUCCUACGGGACGCAUCAGGCGCGAAAACUUUACAAUGUGCGAAAGCACGAUAAGGGAACUCUGAGUGCCUCCUAAGGAGGCUGUUCAGAUGUUUAAAAAGCAUCUGGAGGAAGGGCUGGGCAAGACCGGUGCCAGCCGCCGCGGUAACACCGGCAGCCCAAGUGGUAGUCAUGCUUACUGGGUCUAAAGCGUCCGUAGCCGGCCAGGUAAGUUCCUUGGGAAAUUUGAUCGCUUAACGAUUAAGCUACCGGGGAAUACUACCUGGCUUGGGACCGGGAGAGGUCAGAGGUACUUCAAGGGUAGGGGUGAAAUCCGUUAAUCCUUGGGGGACCACCAGUAGCGAAGGCGUCUGAUCAGACCGGAUCCGACGGUGAGGGACGAAGGCCAGGGGAGCGAACCGGAUUAGAUACCCGGGUAGUCCUAGCAGUAAACGAUGCGGGCUAGGUGUUGGCAUUACUGCGAGUGAUGCCAGUGCCGAAGGGAAGCCGUUAAGCCCGCCAUCUGGGGAGUACGGU